rnacentral:rRNA from 1 species
UGCGUAGGCGGGUUAAUAAGUCAGUGGUGAAAUCCUACAGCUUAACUGUAGAACUGCCAUUGAAACUGUUAAUCUUGAGUAUAGUUGAGGUGGGCGGAACGUGUUAUGUAGCGGUGAAAUGCUUAGAUAUGACACAGAACACCAAUUGCGAAGGCAGCUCACUAAACUAUUACUGACGCUGAGGCACGAAAGCGUGGGGAGCGAACAGGAUUAGAUACCCUGGUAGUCC